CCUACGGGAGGCAGCAGUGAGGAAUAUUGGUCAAUGGCCGGAAGGCUGAACCAGCCAAGCCGCGUGAAGGACGAAGGUGCCAAGCAUUGUAAACUUCUUUUGUCCAGGGACAAAAUCAGGCUCGAGAGCCUGACCGCGGGUACUGGAUGAAAAAGCACCGGCUAACUCCGUGCCAGCAGCCGCGGUAAUACGGAGGAUGCGAGCGUUAUCCGGAUUUAUUGGGUUUAAAGGGUGCGCAGGCGGAGUAAAAAGUCAGCGGUAAAAUCGCGGGGCUCAACCCCGCUCCGCCGUUGAAACUGGGUGCCUUGAGUGCGCGACGGGUAGGCGGAAUGCGUGGUGUAGCGGUGAAAUGCAUAGAUAUCACGAAGAACUCCGAUGGCGAAGGCAGCCUACCGGGGCGCAACUGACGCUGAGGCACGAAAGCGUGGGUAUCGAACAGGAUUAGAUACCCGAGUAGUC
rnacentral:rRNA from 1 species